rnacentral:rRNA from 1 species
UGGGGAAUAUUGGGCAAUGGGCGAAAGCCUGACCCAGCCAUGCCGCGUGAGUGAUGAAGGCCUUCGGGUCGUAAAGCUCUGUGGGGAGGGACGAAACAGCCUAUGGCUAACAUCCAUGGGCCUUGACGGUACCUCCUUAGCGAGCACCGGCUAACUCCGUGCCAGCAGCCGCGGUAAUACGGAGGGUGCAAACGUUGCUCGGAAUCAUUGGGCGUAAAGCGCACGUAGGCGGUCCAGCAAGUCGGAUGUGAAAUCCCUCGGCUCAACCGAGGAAGUGCAUUCGAAACUGCUGAACUUGAAUAUGGAAGAGGGUCGCGGAAUUCCCGGUGUAGAGGUGAAAUUCGUAGAUAUCGGGAGGAACACCAGUGGCGAAGGCGGCGACCUGGGCCAAUAUUGACGCUGAGGUGCGAAAGCGUGGGGAGCAAACA